rnacentral:rRNA from 1 species
CCCUUAGAUGUUCUGGGCUGCACGCGCGCUACACUGAUGCACUCAACGAGUUUACGACCUUGCCCGAUAGGGUUGGGUAAUCUUUUUAAAAUGCAUCGUGAUGGGGAUAGAUUAUUGCAAUUAUUAAUCUUCAACGAGGAAUUCCUAGUAAGCGCGAGUCAUCAGCACGUGCUGAUUACGUCCCUGCCCUUUGUACACACCGCCCGUCGCUCCUACCGAUUGAGUGCUCAGGUGAAUAAUUCGGACUGCAGCAAUGUUUGGAUCCCGAACGUUGCAGCGGAAAGUUUAGUGAACCUUAUCACUUAGAGGAAGGAGAAGUCGUAACA